CUCCCUCACCAUCUCUCCCCCUUCUUGCAUUCCUCUCUUAAAAUAUUUCAUUCCCACAUUCCUGUUGUCAAAUAUUACAUUCCACAUUCUUCUCCUCCACUCCUCGCGCCUCACAUCUUUUCUUCUCUUUGGUGAACAAAUAUUAGUGAGUCUCUCCCUGAAGAGCAUUUCUAGGGGUCCGGUCUCUGUAAUAGCUGUCUUUGUUAGUGCCUGAGUUUGGGGUCUUCUUUACGAUAGGUGUUGGGUCCUCGGGCAUUCAGUUCUGACAUCCUUCAGUUGUACUCUGAAAUGGUUCCAGUGGAAAUUGUAGAAUUGUCUUUAAAUGAACCUUAACCAGAAGGAAUAUUUUACCCUUGUUCUCUCUCUUCCUCUGGUUUAAUGAAUUCUGUGGCAAGCAACAACCACCAAGGACUUGUUGUUUCUCCCCCCAACACCCCCUUUAGGGGUAUCCGUAUUCUGUCAGUCAGUGCUCCGCUCGUUUCUCUCGGCUGGUUAAACGGGUUACGGUUGAUGACUCUUUUUGUUUCCUGUGCUGCUGAAAACAAUAGCAUAAUAAUGCAGUCAUAAGGUUCUAGCGUCUGUAAGGCGGGUUCUAGCGUCUGUAAGGCGGGUUCUAGCGUCUGUAAGGCGGGUUCUAGCGUCUGUAAGGCGGGUUCUAGCGUCUGUAAGGCGGGUUCUAGCGUCUGUAGGGCAGGUUCUAGCGUCUGUAGGGCAGGUUCUAGCGUCUGUAGGGCAGGUUCUAGCGUCUGUCGGGCAGGUUCUAGCGUCUGUCGGGCAGGUUCUAGCAUCUGUAGGGCAGGCUCGAGCACUCGUAGGGCAGGUUCUAGCGUCCGUAGGGCAGGCUCUAGCGUCCGUAGGGCAGGCUCUAGCAUCCGUAGGGCAGGCUCUAGCAUCCGUAGGGCAGGUUCUAGCAUCCGUAGGGCAGGUUCUAGCAUCCGUAGGGCAGGCUCUAGCAUCCGUAGGGCAGGCUCUAGCAUCUAUAGGGCAGGUGUAAUCUGUAGAUCUACUAAACAUCUGCUGUUGGGCAGAGCCUGGGUCAGGUGUUGAUGUGACUGUCAAUUGAUGGUACAGGUAGAGGACUGUGGAGUGCAGCGAGUGGGAGAGGCAUUUAGAUCUCAUACACACACAGACACACACAAAUAGACACGAAUAGACACACACACACACAUCAAUUGAUGAUUAGUGGAACAGGUGCACUCAUUGACUUCCUCUUCAGAGCCCUAAUUACAGGGCUGUCGCUCUAGAGACGUCAAGUCAAGCCCUAAGUGGGUCUAUCUGGCACACACUGUACACACACACACACACACACACACACACACACACACACACACAGUACAAACACACCUACACACUCACUGAGAACACGUAUACUACACACACUAACUCACAUACACAGACUAACAUGCACUAUGAGCAUACAACCUCAACUGAUUCGUUAACCUUUAAUUAUCACCCAUCACUGGCCAUCCGAUGCCUAAACACAUCUCCUUCCAAAUCAGUGUUUCUCUCUCUUCUCCCACCUCUGUGUUCCGCCUGCUGAGUAAUGAAGAUGCACUGUGUGUGUAUAUAUAUGUAUGACACACUAAAAGUACGUGGACACCUCUUCAAAUUAGGCUAUUUUAGCCACCUCUGUUGCUUGACUGAAAGCUGUAUAAAAUCGAGCACACAGCCAUGCAAUCUCUAUAGGCAAACAUUGACAGUAGACUGGCCACACGGAAGAGCUCAGUGACUUUCAACGUGGCACCGUCAUAGGAUGCCACCUUUCCAACAAGUCAUUUCGUUACAUUCCUGUCCUGCUAGAGCUGCCCCGGUCAACUGUAAGUGCUGUUAUUGUGAAGUGGAAACGUCUAGGAAGAACAACGGCUCAGCCGCGAAGUGGUUGGCCACACAAGCUCACAGAACGUGACCGCUGAAGCGCGUAGUGAGUAAAAAUCGUCUGGCCUCGGUUGCAGUCGAUCAGUCGAUUAGUCGAUCGUCAAACAUUUCUGUAAAAAAACAACGAUAACCUUGUUCCCAUUUUAAUUUAUUUUGGUCUCGGGCUGUUGGCGGUAGGUGAACCCGAUUCAGCUGCCCUGCACGCCUGGUGGGUGAACUGUUGCCAUUUUGAACCAUUUCAUGUAUCUGGCCUGGAGAGCCAAUCAAGUGCACUAGACCUACCGCUGGCCAAUCAGAUGGCUCAGAUUACCAUGUCAGCAGUAACAGAAAGCUACAGAAAAGUUGAUACUGUGAGAUUUCAAAAUGUUUAAAACCAUGACUAGAGAGGGACUCGAUGAAUACAGGAAAGAGCUGCUGUUUUUAUGAGUGAGUUCAUGUUCAAAUUCUUUCUCAGCACUGUCAGCACUCUAUUCAACACUUUUAUAAGCCAUAAAAUACACAUUCUUCCUAUUUCCACUCAGCACUGCAACAAGCACUGCAGCAGUAAUGAAUGAGUAGGAAAGUGAAACCUAUAGGCUUGUGUUGUUAUUAUUAGCAGCUUGGGUAUUUUUUAAUAUCCAGGAAUAUUACACUUUCUCUGUUCAUAGGAGUAACAACAUGAAUUUGUGCAUGAGUCAGAAAUAAUGUGGUAAGACUCGAGUUUCCCCAGCCUUUUUGGUCAGGGUCAGUGAAGGAAUGGGAGAGCGGAGGGAUGUUGAGAGGCGGACCCUCCGUCUGCUGCUCUCUCCCUCCGCUGAGACUGACCGCCAAAUGCAGGCACCAUCAGCCCAGUAAAAUAAAAAAUAAAGCAAAUUAUUUAAAUGCUCACUCAGCUGUGCCUCACAAGAAAUACAACAACGGAUCUAUUACCAGUGUGAUCAUAUAAUUUUUUUAAAUGACCCGAACAACAAUUAAUUUGCAGGGCAAUUCAAGCAAAGCCAAUAUGUGUUGAUAAUGUAUUGGGCCUAUAUUUCUAUGGUACUGUUUUUACCUCAUUGUUAUAGUACUGUUUUUAAUUGGUUAAUGAUGCGCAGGCUUAUGUUUUUAUGUCAUGUAAUAAAACAAAUCUGAGUGGUAGAUCUUGGCUUGCAUUUUGACUCCGAAAUCGAUUUGACCUCAAAGUUUGGUGGCCUCGGUUCUAGUUUUCCCUGUUAACACUAUCAAUGUUUCCCUUUACUGUGGCAAUUGUGAUUGAAUCAACAAAAUAUUAACCUCUCUGGGAUAUUCGGGACGGUAGCAUCCCACCCCGCCAACAGCCAGUGACAGUGCAGGGCGCCAAAUUCAAAACAACAAAAAUCUCAUAAUUAAAAUUCCUCAAGCAUACAAGUAUUUUACACCAUUUUAAAGAUAACAUUCUCGUUAAUCCAGCCACCGUGUCUGAUUUCAAAAAGGCUUUACAGCGAAAGCACCACAAACGAUUGUUAGGUCACCACCAAGUCACAGAAAAACAGCCAUUUUUCCAGCCAAAGAGAGGAGUCACAAAAAGCAGAAAUAUCGAUAAAAUUAAUCACUAACCUUUUAUGAUCUUCAUCAGAUGACACUCAUAGGACUUCAUGUUACACAAUACAUGUAUGUUUUGUUUGAUAAAGUGCAUAUUUAUAUCCAAACAUCUCAUUUUACAUUGGCGUGUUAUGUUCAGUAUUUCCAAAACAUGCAGUGAUUUUGCAGAGAGCCACAUCAAUUUACAGAAAUACUCAUUGAUAAAAGAUACAACUAUUAUACAUGGAACUUUAGAUAAACUUCUCCUUUAUGCAACCGCUGUGUCAGAUUUCAAAAAAACUUUACGGAAAAGCAUACCAUGCAAUAAUCUGUGUACGGCGCUCAGAGACCAAAACAGCCAAAGAGAUAUCCGCCAUGUUGUGGAGUCAACAUUAGUCAGAAAUAGCAUUGUAAAUAUUCACUUGCCUUUGAUCUUCAUCAGAAUGCACUCCCAGGAAUCCCAGUUUCACAAUAAAUGUUUGAUUUGUUCGAUAAAGUUAAUAAUUUAUGUCCAAAUACCUCCUUUUGUUAGGGUGUUUGGUAAGUCCAGCCGAAAGGUCAGACAAAAGUCAAAAAAGUUAUAUUACAGGUCGUAGAAACAUGUCAAACGAAGUAUUGAAUCAAUCUUUAGGAUGUUUUUAUCAUAAUUCUUCAAUAAUAUUUCCACCAGAGAAUUCCUUUGUCUGUAGAAAAGCAAUGGAACGCAAGCUAACUUUCACAUGACCUCGCGUCACGAGCUCGUGGCAAUCUGCCAGACACCUGGCUCAAUCCCCUCUCAUUCGGCCCCACUUCACAGUAGAAGCAUCAAACAAGUUUCUAAAGACUGUUGACAUCUAGUGGAAGCCUUAGGAAGUGCAAAAUGACCCCACAGACACUGGAUAUUGGAAUAGCAAUGAGUUGAAAAACUACAAACCUCAGAUUUCCCACUUCCUGGUUGGAUUUUUCUCAGGAUUUCUGCUAUAUGAGUUCUGUUAUACUCACAGACAUCAUUCAAACAGUUUUAGAAAACCCUCUGAAGUUUCUAUCCAAAUAUACUAAUUAUAUGCAUAUUCUAGCUUUUAUGGCUGAGUAGUUGGCAGUUUACUCUGGGCACCUUAUUCAUCCAAGCUACUAAAUACUGCCCCCCAGUCACCAAGAAGUUAACCACUUUCAAUGUAACAUACCGAAACACAACAAAUUAUGCAAGGGAUUGUUGUCUGCAAAACGCAUUGGAGUAGAAUUCUAUUGCAUUGACACGCACUGCUCAACCCGUACUCUACACAGACCGGUGCAGCAUAAACAAUCAGAGCUGCAGUAGGCCUAUAUGCAAAUAGACAAUUACCAUAUAUGGAUCUGUGCCAUUUACUUUGAACUGGACAGUGUUUACAGCAUGAGCGGUCGUGAGUAGAUGCACUUGUUUUGAGAUCAAAGCGAGAGUUGUGUGUAGCCACGUGUACAUUUGUUCAUAUCUUUUGCUAGUUAGUGAGUUAUUAGCCCAGUUAUAGAACAUUUGUAGUCAGCAAUAGAGGAGUGAUUGAAUCCUACAGUGCACAAAACAUGUACAUUUCUAGGCAUCUUUGAAAAGCUGCUACUGUAGGCUGAAUGAUAGAACAGCUAUUUCCAUGUUAAAAUGUUAUGGAAUGCAUUUUCUCCAUAGUUUUUUGAUGGCAGGCCACUCUGGUAGGCCUAUAUUAUGAUCAAAUAGCCACAGUAGCCUAUUUGGCCACUAUUAUAACUAACUUAAAGGAGGGUACAGCCUCAGUGUUCACAGUAAACACACGCUGGAAGUUGCACUGAAUUUUCAAGUUUGAGAUCAGCAGCCCAGAAAUUUGCUCAGUGCCCCAAGAAAUUUGAGGGAACAUUGGUUGCAACACUCACUACUGAGUUCCAAACUGCCUCUGGAAGCAAAGUUUUUAGGCCACACAAGCUCACAGAACAGGACAGCUGAGUGCUGAAGCACCUAAAAAUCACCUGUCCUUGGUUGCAACACUCACUACUGAGUUCCAAACUGCCUCUUGAAGCAACGUCAGCACAGGAACUGUUCGUCGGGAGCUUCAAUAAAUCACCCAUCACCAUCUGGCAGUCCCACGGACAAAUCUGGGUUUGGUUGAUGCCAGAAGAAUGCUACCUGCUCGAAUGUAGUGCCAACUGUAAAGUUUAGUGGAGGAGGAAUAAUGGUCCGGGGCUGUUUUUCAUGGUUCGGGCUCGGCCCCCCCGAUUCUGUGCUUCCAACUUUGUGGCAACAGUUUGGGGAAGGGCCUUUUCUGUUUCAGCAUGACAAUGCCCCCGUGAACAAAGCAAGGUCCAUACAGAAAUGGUUUGUUGAGAUCUGUGUGGAAGAACUUGACUGGCCUGCACAGAGCCCUGACCUCAACUCCAUCAACUGCAAGCCAGGCCUAAUCACCCAACAUCAGUGCCCAACCUCUCUAAUGAUCUUCUGGCUGAAUAGAAGCAAGUCCCUGCAGAAAUGUUCCAACAUCUAGUGGAAAUCCUUCCCAGAAGAAUGGAGGCUGUUAUAACAGAAAAUUCAUAUUAAUGCACCUGCCCACACACACACAUACCUGUCCACACACACACACACACACACACACACACACACACACACACACACACACACACACACACACACACACACCUGUCCUCACACACACACACACCUGUCCUCACACACACACACACACACACACACACACACACACACACACACACACACACACACACACACACACACACACACACACACACCACCUGUCCUCUCACACACACACAUCACCUGUCCUCUCACACACACACACACACACACACACACACACACACACACACACACACACACACACACACACACACACACACACACACACACACACACACCUGUCCUCUCAUACACACCUGUCCACACACACACACACACCUGUCCACACACACACACCUGUCCACACAUACACAUGUCCACACACCUGUCCUCUCACACACACCUGUCCACACACACACACCUGUCCACACACACACACACACCUGUCCACACAUACACAUGUCCACACACCUGUCCUCUCACACACACACACCUGUCCUCUCACACACACACACACCUGUCCUCUCACACACACACACACACACACACACACACACACACACACACACACACACACACACACACACACACACCACCUGUCCUCUCACACACACACACACAUCACCUGUCCUCACACACACACAUCACCUGUCCUCACACACACACACACACACACACACACACACACACACACACACACACACACACA